rnacentral:tRNA from 8 species
UGGGGUAUCGCCAAGCGGUAAGGCACCGGUUUUUGAUGCCGGCAUUCCCUGGUUCGAAUCCAGGUACCCCAGCCA